UACGUAGGGCGCGAGCGUUGUCCGGAAUUAUUGGGCGUAAAGAGCUCGUAGGCGGCUGGUUGCGUCUGCUGUGAAAUCCCGGGGCUUAACCCCGGGCGUGCAGUGGAUACGGGCCGGCUGGAGGCAGGCAGGGGAGAAUGGAAUUCCCGGUGUAGCGGUGAAAUGCGCAGAUAUCGGGAGGAGCACCGGUGGCGAAGGCGGUUCUCUGGGCCUGUACUGACGCUGAGGAGCGAAAGCGUGGGGAGCGAACAGG
rnacentral:rRNA from 1 species